CUCUGUGAUGUCACCAGUGUUGUAGUGACAACCAGUGCCCUAGUUUCUCUCAGUCUGAGUCUGGCGGUUACACCCUAAGACAUGUUUUCCCGUCUUCGCAAGAGUUUUGGGAGGGGGAACAUCGAUUGUGGAGAGACUAGAGUGAAGGAGUCUGGCCUUUCGUCUCAAAGUAAUGAUGGACAAAGACAGCACUUCUGGGGAAUGUGGAGUUCACUUGUGUCCUUCUACCUACAGAGGCUGGGAGAGAAACACCAUCCCCUGGAACUGAGCUAAGCAAGAAGCAGGCCGAGAAGGAAAAUAAGAGGUGGAUUUAAGAGCUGCAGCUCAUUACAGAGGAGCGAAACGACCUGAGAGAUCGCCUGAGGUUUCUGACAGAGAGAUCCAUGAAGAACAGGUAUGAAUCGCUCCAAACGCUCUUGUUCCAUUCCUGGGUGUUCAAUGUCACCUUCAUCUUAUCCUUUUAAGGUUUUGGGUUCUAGAAAGCUGUGUCUCUGUAACGACCCUUUUUUAAACCUCACCUCCCAUAUAGAGGAGAUUCAGAACCUGACCCUUCCUGAGGAGCAAGAUGGAAAAUGGACUCAUCUGCUUCCAUUUAUUGAAAAGCAGGAUUUGUGGUCUGAAUGAAGAAUUCGGGGAUAAAGUCAGGGAGAGUGAGUGCCCAGUGUGUAUUUGCAAAGCCCUUGACAGCUGGUGGCUUUGCAAGAUUGUAAUUGCAGUGAGUUUAUGGUGAGUCUCUGUACGUGCUAGGCAGGGGACUGAGUGCUGGAAGAUCCACACAGCAGCCUGAGGGGCCUGGUCCCAAACUGUUCAUCUCAAUGCUUGACUAGAAGGUCUCAGGCUCAGGCCUGUUUGUUCUUGUCUGUGUGUCUUGCCCUCUGAGACAGCAAUGGUGCAUGCAAUUUCUCCUGGUUGUCACAGUGCUCUCUGUUUCCAUAUUUCUCUUUCUCUUUCUCUGACUCUGUUUACAUUUCUCUUAUUUGUGGCUGUGUCUCAGUCUGUGUAUGUGCAUGUGCACACAUCCAAAUGCAUAGGUACAACAUUUAUAUGUUUAUAUUUCCCUCCAAAUUUGAGUCUAGGGGGUCUAUGUCUUGGCCUGAGUAUUUACCCAUGCUACACUUUCAUGGAGAUGUGAGUGCUUUGUUCUGGGAGCCCCACUGUCAACAGCACAGUUCUUUGACUGUGUGGUCACAUUUGUCUGUACAGUUGUAUCCAUUGGGCAGAUUAUUAUUUUGUGGCCAGAUGUGAUCUCAACUCCAUAAUUAUGUGUAAUGUCUGUCUCUACACUAUUAGUUAUUCAGAAUGAAUAAUUCCUGUUGUCAAAACAGGAAAAAUCAAAUCACAUUUUCUGGGUGUGUAGGGGAGUGCCCGGAAGAGCUGUGGCUGAGGCUUUUGAUAACAUAACUGUCUUGACUCCAGGUCCAGUCCUCUCUAUUGAACAAAGGGAGCCAGGAAACCCUCCAUCUGGAUGCUGAGCUUCCGGUGUCCUGGCCCCAGAAUAACAAGUUUCUGAAGCUGAAGAAGAUCCCAAUAUAUAGAAUUCAGAAGGUGUCCUUCCAGGGCUGGGGUAGUACAGGACCCACCCUGAGUUCAUAUAUUCCUAAAUGCUGAUGUUCAUUGUAUUCUAUCAUUUGGGGCCAGGCCACACUUCAGGCCAAAUCCAUAUUAUGAAGACCUGGAGAGAAUGGAGGAGGCGGUCAUGUCAAUUCUGCACAACUUAGAGAUGGAGAACACUGAGAUCCAUGAGAACAGCCAUAAGCUGAAAAAGGAGAUGACCUUCUCUAGGUCUCAGAAAGUGCAAGACUGCUGGAAUUGGACACGGACCAGGAAGAGGACUCCUGAAGAAUAAGUUGCUUCCUCAGGAGUCCCCUGCUGACAAACAUCCUGACUAUUAACAACAUGUUUUGGAUGAAUAUUCUUCCUCAUAGUUAAUUUGUCAUUGCUUAGAGACCUUAAAUUUAUAUAUCACUAAGCCAGCCUGACUGAUUGAGGUCUUACUCACUUUCUUCUUUAGAAAUCACCACUUGAGAGACAACUUGGGGGACCGCCUUUCAUUAUGCUAGAGGAGAAAGAGCAAUACAUCUGUGCUUCUAAAUGUUCGUUAAGAAUAUGAUGUUUAGAAAUAUUUUGUUAUGAUUUUCAUUGAAGUUUUCUAUUUGUUGUUUCAUAGUUAUAUGCUCUUGUUAUUAUUUUUCAUUUUUAAAUACUUUUAAAUAUUUAUAUUAAUUCGUUUUAAUCCUGUUUUGUUGUAAAUUGUAUUUCUUAUCAAUAAAAAUUGAUUUUAAUCUCUUGACUCUUAAGACCAUCAUUCUUAUUCAAGGGUUCUUUCUGCUCCUGUGGACUUAGAACUGACAGCUGGAGAUGGAUCUCUGCAUGUUCCAGGGAGCCUUGGCUAAAUAGUGAAUUCAAAGCCAGCAAGGGGUACCCAGUGUGAAGUGUCUUCUGUGUGGAUAAUGUGGCUGUCUCUCAGAUGCACACUUUACUAUGUAAUCACUGCCAUACUUUACCCAUACUGUCAUGUGUUCUGCUCACCUUAACAUAUAACAGUCUGCAGCUCACAUUCAUUGUUGACCCUGUGCCCCACAUAUUGAGUAAUAUACACUCAUUGCUGUACAGCUACAGAAAAAUUGACAACAUUCUCAAAGGAAUACAGAAGUCAUCCUAAUGGAGAACCAUGUGCUUCAGCUUUUCUUGCAAUACAGCAUCGAUAUUUACCCCAGAGAUUAUGACCUUCAAUGUCAUGCUGGGAAACAGGUUUUGACAGAUGCUCUUGUUCUUGACCAGAAGUAUGCUGUGUUUUUAUUGAUGUAGAUUAGACUUAGUUUUAUCAUUUAUGUCAAUGGGUCUUUUUUUCUACAGUCUGUCUGUGGCCUGUCCUGGGUGAAUUUCCCUCAUAGUCCAAAGGAAGGAAUCCCAUUCCCCGUUGUAUAUUAUUGUUAGGGACCACGUGGUUCCUCUGAGAGAACAGCCGAUGCUCUAAUCUGUGAGUCCUCACCACAGCUUCUUCAGGUGGCUUUUGUCUUUCCAGGGCAUGUGCUCUAUUAGGUGGACAGGAUCACCUCCAAUUAAAUGGAGAGAUCUCAGGAGAUGUGUGUUCACAGGAAACUUACUGAGCUGUGCCUGCUCAAUGUGCUAGGUUGCCAGGCAUCCCUACAGGGCUCUGGUGUUCCCACUGCUCAUUGUGGGUCAGGAUCAUCCUCCAGCAUCACUUAGUGUCCAUAUUAGAGCAGAUCUUUCACCUAUUAUCAAUGAGGACCAUGUAUAUUAUUCACAUCUGAUAAAAUACAGAAUAGAAACUAACUUGCUGUAGGCCAGCUUGGCAUAAUGAAUUCUUUUGAUUGUUAGCAAGAAACUUAUCUUUAUCUAAGCAGUUUAGGGAGGAACCUCAAGGGCAUCCAUAGUGAAUGCAGCCUACAGCUGUGAACACAGGUUUCUUUUGGAGAGCAGGCCUGUGCAAGCCCAGAACCGAGGUGGGACAGUUCAAGCUACCCUUUUUCCAUGACCAAUCUUGGAUCACAUUAAGACAGUAUUUCUUCCAGGUGAUGGAUUUCCAAUUUAUGGAAUUGAACUAACUUACUGAGAGUGGAGGUGACUUAGAGAGUUAAUGUACAGAAGGAAUAAUCCAGAAUGUCCUCAAAAGCUUGCUGUCACCCCAGGGCUUUUAAAAGCUCAGCACCUAGAGAACUAAUGUAGUCUUUGGUUAUUCUCAAGCUUAGGUCUUCUACUCAUUAUAAGCUGACCAUGACACAAAAAGAGUCAUCUGUGUCACAAUAGAAACUAGUUGUCACUAGAUUAACACCACACUAUCACAUCACUACCGUGUUUGAGGUUCUCAGUUACUAUCUAAGAACCUGGAGGUGGCCUGGGUCUUGCUACACAUACCCAUAAUUUAUGUCCACAUUGUCAG